GACGAACCGUGCGAACGUUAUUCGGAAUCACUGGGCUUAAAGGGCGCGUAGGCGGGUCAUCAAGUCAGGGGUGAAAUACUUCGGCUUAACCGGAGAAGUGCUUUUGAUACUGGUGACCUCGAGGGGUGUAGGGGCAUGUGGAACUUCCGGUGGAGCGGUGAAAUGCGUAGAUAUCGGGAGGAACACCUGUGGCGAAAGCGGCGCACUGGACCAUUUCUGACGCUGAGGCGCGAAAGCUAGGGGAGCAAACAGG
rnacentral:rRNA from 1 species